rnacentral:lncRNA from 1 species
UAGCGGAGGCGUGCAACUCGAAGCGCGGGAAAGGGAGAAUGGCGAUGGUGCAGAUAGUGCAGAAAUGGCAAAGAGCUGGUCAUGGAGGCGCCUAAAAAACGCCGAAGUUCAAAGGUUGGCGCUAUUUUGUUAAGUGAGGGACUUCACGCAUGAGGUGGCCGCUCGCGUGGCACAUGCUCGUACCUUGUGAUGGUUUUCCGAUGGCGCUUGAAAAGAUACCAACGGGUGGAUCUCCUAUCUUCAUUAUGGAAACUCCUUGUUACGAAUGUCUGAAAGCACCAGUAGUGUACGUACGCUUCUCUCAAAAGGAUUACUUCGCUGGGAGGACAAGGUUCAAUGUCUUCUGGGAGCCAAGGGCUUGGUUUAUGGGCUACAAGAGAGUUUGGACUACAGCCUAGAGCUCUUGCAUGUAAGGAAGGUUCUCUUGGUCCAUGGCUUCCAGGAUUGUUUGCCGGCAGGUUUUACUUCGCCCGUCCCAUUCGCUGCGCUCCCCAGAGAAAAAUUGUAAUGUGUCCUGUGCUCUCGGCUACCCCGAGAAAGCACUGUUAAUAAAAUGCUCUG